UAUGUUCCAGCGCACUUGCAUCUUAUGGUAUUUGAGUUGGUUAAGAACUCACUUCGUGCUGUCCAAGAGCGUUUUAUGGAUUCUGAUAAAGUUGCACCUCCCAUUAGAAUAAUAGUUGCUGAUGGGAUAGAGGAUGUUACCAUAAAGGUACUCAGUUAAAUUUAAUAGUUUUUGAGUGAUCUUUUGUUCUGGAAUAUUUUUGUUUCUUUUGGUAGGAUUGCUACUUGUUAUAAGCAAUUAGUCUGAGUGGCAUUUUCAGGUCUCAGAUGAGGGAGGUGGAAUUCCAAGAAGUGGUUUGCCUAAAAUUUUUACAUAUCUAUACAGUACCGCCCGAAACCCAUUGGAUGAGCAUUCAGAUCUCGGAAUAGGUGAGAAUGUGACAAUGGCUGGAUAUGGAUAUGGGCUUCCCAUUAGUCGCCUAUAUGCUCGGUAUUUUGGAGGUGAUCUUCAAAUGAUCUCCAUGGAAGGAUAUGGUGAGUAGGGCACUACUUGUUUUUCUUUCUUUUGCACUAGUUUUCUGCAACAUAUUCUUAUUCCUUCCUCUUUUUUGUAAUUCUACUACUUAGGCACUUGAAGACUUACCAACAUUUAUUUUUCUGGUUACAUUUUAUGUCCCUCAUAUCCAUUAGAACUUCUUUAAUAGUAAUAUACUGCUUUAAUAUCCAUUUGUUUUCUCCAAAGUGUUAGUUUGUCAUUACACACUAGAACUUUAUAAGAUUUUACUUUACUAUGGUGGUUUCUUUAUUUUCUAAAGCCUGAUGAACUGCUCAAUACCAUCUUAAAGGUCUUACUUGUAUUUCUUGAGAUAUAUAUNNNNNNNNNNNNNNNNNNNNNNNNNNNNNNNNNNNNNNNNNNNNNNNNNNNNNNNNNNNNNNNNNNNNNNNNNNNNNNNNNNNNNNNNNNNNNNNNNNNNCGGUUACGUUACUUUAGUUAUUUACUUGUAGAUAUAUAUAUAUAUAUAUAUAUAUAUAUAUAUAUAUAUCUAUUAUAUCACAUUUUUAUAGUGUUAUUUUUAUUUUAUUUUGUCUAAAAUGCUCCUUUUUUCUAUUUGAUUAUUAGUGUUCCAAAAUAAAAAAUCAUGUUUUAUGAUGCUAUCAUGGGUUGUUUAUUCUCAGGGACUGAUGCACAUCUCCAUUUGUCUCGUUUGGGAGAUUCACAAGAACCUUUGCCUUGAAAGUUCUUUUCAGACAGAGUUACGUUCAAUAACUCAUAGUAAUCUUGUGCUAGGGAAAACACCAUUGUUAGUAUCUUUUGAAUGGGAGGGACUUAGCCUAUAGUUUAUAUUAUUUUGUUAUAUGUUAUUGAUUCUGUUAUUAUUUUUAUCUAUAAAUAAACACCCCUAUGUGUGUAUUUUACACUAGGGAUAUCUAUCCUAUAUUUGUUUUCUUCAUUAUUAACAUGGUAUCUAGAGCUUAGGAUUAGGAUUAAAUUUUUUUGGUGAGCCCGCUGUUUACCGUUAGCCGCCACCCACUUCUACCGUCACCGGAGCCGUCGUCGGUGGAAUCUCCGUUGAAAUCUUGCUGGAGCCGCUGUUGUUGUCACCAAUUGGAUAACAACUAGAUCUAUGGAUCCAUCUCCUACCACUGGGCCCAAUCCGUCUCCUAUUACUAUGCUGCCGACAACUGGAUCUUUGGCUUCUUAGGUUGCCACUAUGCCCAAUCCAUCUAUUUAUACUAAUUAUGUCAAUGUUCAUCUUUCUAUUGACAAAUUUGAUGAAACUAAUUAUGACACUGAGUCCUUAGAUAUUAAAUUAUGACAACGUGUUUGCACUGUUGUUGCAGAUGAGUUUUCCCGUUGGUUGAAAAUUGAUGCUCAAUUAUGCAUUGUUAUUAAAUCUAUUAUUCACUCAUCUUUAAAACAAUUUUUUUGGUGUUCUUUUUUCAAAGUUAUUAUACACCAAUGAUACUCAACCUCUUUAUGGUGUGUGUCAAAAUCUCCAUACUGUUGUUGCUCCCAAAUGUCUUGAUGGUACAAUAGUUGAAUAUUUGGGUAAGCAACAUGCUCUUCUUCAUUAUUUUAAUGAAUUAUUGCCUCCUGGCACCACUCCUACUCAAGAACUAAAGCAACGGUCCAAGUUCUUCAUGUUAUUGGGCUUAGAUGGCCUUCCUUAUGAUUAUUCUCAUGUCCGUGAUCAGAUUUUGGGAUCUCGUGUUGUUCCCAAUUUUACUUCUACUUGUUCUACCUUUCUACGUGUGCCAGGUAUACAUAUCACUGAUAUACCUCUUUCAGUUGAUGACUCUUCUGCUUUAAUCUAUCAACGUUAUGAUUGUACUCGCCCUUCUAAGCCGGGCAAAGGGCGUCACAAGUGUGACCAUUGUGGCAAACUUGGUCACAAAAUUGAUCGGUGUUAUGCCUUACAUGGUCGUCCUCCUAAAUCUGUUGCGGUUGUCGAAAAUGUUCCUGUGCAACCUUCAACCAUGGACUCUACUUCAUCUGAUAUCUCAGGUUAACCUGCAAUUUUCAAUGAAUUUCUUAAAUGGUGUGAGGAUCGUUAGAACUCUCUGGUUCCACUGCUUCUGUUGCACAUUCAGGUACACCUUUUGCUCGUCUUAUUCCAAUUCUCUUGGUCCUUGGGUUCUUGAAUCAGGUGCCACCAAUCAUAUCGUUGGUAAUAAAUCUUUCUUCUUCUUCUUUGUCUACCUCCGGUUAUUUACCAACCAUUACCAUGACCAAUGGCUCUAGGGUCUUAUCCCAUGGUGAUGGUACUAUUCAUCUUCCCUUUUUAUCUAUUGAUAAUGUUCUUUAUGUUCCUGGGUCUCUCCUUAACAUAUUAUCCAUUAGUCGUCUAACUCGUUCCCUUGAUUGUGUUAUUUCUUUUACCAAAGAUUCUAUUUGUUUACAAGAUCGGAGUUCUGGAAGGAUGAUUGACAUCAGAUGUGAGUCUCAUGGCCUUUACCACCUACGAACAUUUUCGCAUGUUGACACGGUUAUGGAUUCUCCAUCUCUCAUUCAUGCUCAGCUAGGUCAUCAUAGUCUUGCCAAGAUGCAACACCUUGUUCCAAAUUUGUCCAGUGUCUAGUUUGUUUUGUGAGUCGUGUCAUUUAGGUAAACAAAGUCGUAGUUCUUUUCCUAGUAGUGUUUCACAAUGUUUUUCAUCCCCUUUUGCUUUAGUUCACUCUAACAUUUGAGGACCAAGUCGUGUUAAGUCUAAUUUAGGGUUUUAGUAUUUUGUUACUUUUAUUGAUGAUUAUUCAAGAUGUACUUGGUUAUUUUUAAUGAAAUCUCGUUUGAGUUGUUUUCUAUAUUUCAAUCUUUUUAUAACGAAAUUAAAAAUCAAUUUGGAGUUUCAAUUCGAAUCUUACACAGUGAUAAUGCUCAUGAGUAUCUUUCUCAUUCUUUUACCACUUUUAUGAAAUCUCAUGGCAUUCUUCAUCAAACCUCAUGUGCUUAUACCCCUAAACAAAAUGGGGCGGCUGAGCGCAAGAAUAGACACCUUGUUGAAACUACUCGUACUAUGUUACUUCAUGGUCACGUUCCUCAACGUUUUUGGGGUGAUGUUGUUCUUAGUACAUGUUAUCUAAUUAAUUGUAUGCCAUCUUUGGUUUUAGAGAAUACAUUCCUCAUUCUUUUUUAUUUCCUCAUGAACCUCUUCAUCCUGUACCAUUUAAAGUUUUUGGGUCUACAUGUUAUGUUCACAAUUUUUGUCCUGGUCUAGAUAAAUUAUCCAUUAGGUCACACAAAUGUGCUUUUUUAGGGUUUACUAGAUCUCAAAAAGGAUAUAAAUGUUUUUCACUCUCUCUUAACCGUUAUUUCAUUUUUGCAGAUAUCACCUUCAUUUAGUCUUUCUAUUUUAAUUCUUUAUCUUUUCCACCUAUGUCUCCAUCUAAACAAGUACAUAUUCUAGUUGUCUUUGAUCCUCGUGUUAUGUCUAGCGUGCCUGGAGAUUCUCCUCCUCCGCCACCUCUUCAAUUUUAUAGUCGUCGUCAGUCUUCCCAUUGUCCACAGGAUGACUCUCUAGUGUCAAAUCCUCUGUCCCUUCCGGCUCCGAUAGUUGAACCUGAUAUUCCCAUUGCCAUCUGUAAAUGUAUAUGUUCUACCCGUAAUCCCUCUCCACAUUAUAAUGCUUUAAGCUACCAUCGACUAUCUCAACCUUUUUAUAUUUGCCUUUCGUCUAUUUCUUUUGUGUCCAUUCCAAAAUCUGUAGGUGAUGCCUUAGCUCAUCCUGGUUCGCGUCAAGCCAUGCUUGAUGAAAUGAGUGCGCUUUAGAAUAAACUUGGGACCUCGUUCCUUUACCUCCUGGGAAAUUUGUUGUUGGUUGCAGGUGGGUCUUUGCUAUUAAAAUUUGUCCUAAUGGUACUAUUGAUUGUCUCAAAGCUCAUCUUGUAGCUAAGGGUUAUACCCAAAUUUUUGGUUUAGACUAUGGUGAUACUUUUUCUCCAAUAGGAAAGAUGGCUUCAGUUCGCUUAUUUAUAGCCAUGGCUGCUCUUCAACAAUGACCUCUUUAUCAACUAUGUCAAAAAUGUCUUUCUUAAUGGGAAUUUGCAGGAAGAAAUUUAUAUGGAGCAACCUCCCGGCUUUGUUGCUCAGGGGAGUCUUUUGGAUUGGUAUGUCGUCUCCACAAAUCCUUAUAUGCUCUCAAGCAGUCUCCCAGGGCUUGGUUUGGAAAAUUUAGUAAAGUUCUUCAACAAUUUGGUAUGACUCACAGUGAAGUCGAUCAUUCGGUAAAAACCGUCUCUCAAGUGUUGGGUGUAUCUAUCUUGCAGUAUAUGUUGAUGACAUUGUUCUUAUAGGCAGUGAUCACCAUGACAUCUUACAGGUGAAACAACACCUUUGUCAACACUUUCAGACCAAAGAUCUUGACAAACUCAUAUAUUUCUUAGGGAUUGACAUAGCACAAUCAAACAAUGGAAUUGUUAUUUCUCAGAGGAAGUAUGCAUUGGAUAUUUUAGAGGAAAUUGGAUUAACGAAUUCAAAAUCUGUUGAGACACUUAUGAAUCCUAAUGUCAAACUCCUACCUAGUCAUGGAGAGCCUUUCUUAGAUCCUGAGAAUUGCAGGAGAUUAGUUGGAAAAUUGCACUAUCUUACUGUCACUAGUCCAAAUAUUUCAUUUGUUGUGUGGUAAGUCAAUUCCUUAAUUCACCAUAUGCUGAUAGUUGAAAGAAAUUAUGCAACACUGAUCAUUGGACUUAUAUUGAAAUACAUUAAAGGUUCUCUUGGAAAAGACAUGUUAUAUGGUCACAAUAAUCAUACUAGAAUUAUAUGUUAUUCAAAUGCUGAUUGGGCAGGGACUCCCUCUAAUAGAAGAUCCACUUCCGGAUAUUGUGUUUCUAUUGGUGAUAAUUUAAUUUCUUGGAAGAGUAAGAAACAAAAUGUUGUGGCAAGAUAUAGUGCUGAAGCGGAAUUUAAUUUCUCAAUUGGGGUGUGACCGUUUAUUGAUUUUUCUUUGGUUUUUGUCUUUAUGUUUUUUGCAUUCUGUGCUUGAGGAAUUAUGUGGGAUGGUGUUCCAGUUCAGUCUCAGAUUUAAGGGUCUUGCCUCCAGAACCGCAUUUUCAUGGCUUCCAAAAAGUCCUUGAUUGAGGAAGUGCAUAGCUGGGGUUGGUUGAAGCAGACAGGAGUAAGUCACAGGUACAUGAUGGAAUUUGCUGAUUUCUGCUCAGUUUCUUCACAAAGAGCUCCCCAUUAGAAUUGCCAGAAGAGCUAUUGAGCUUGACAAUCUUCCCUAUGGUUUGUCUCAAAAGCCUGCUGUUUUGAAGGUAAACUUUUUUCUCUACAGUGCAGAAUUGUGGCUUGUUGUUAAUUCUGUGAUGUACUUUUUUCCCAUUUAUGGUGCCCUUGGUUCUGUUUUCAUUGGUUUUGGGGGGUAAUUGUCAUUAUUUGGUCUUAUCUGUUUAUGGGUAAGAGAGCUUUUAUUUUUAUGUCUUAUAUGAUUCUAGUGUUUUGUUUGUUUUUCUAUGCUGCCUUAAUAUUGAGCAUUCAUUGAGAUUGACUAACUUUUGAAAGCUGGGUUUUAAAUAAAAUUUAGUUUGUGAUCAUCAUUACCAAGAUGAAGUAAAUUCUUGUCUAAGAGAGACGUCCUGAGUGUCAUGUUUGUGGAUAAUCUUGCCGUGUGAAAACCAUCUUUGCAGUUGGUAUGGAAUAUAAGCAUGUGAAGUUUUGUAUUGUUUCCACGGCUCAUUUAUUUAUUAUGUUUUAUAUUUGUUUAAUGAAAAUCUGUAAACAAAUUAUUUGGUGGAGGCAAAGAGUGAUUUAUACCUCAAGAACACUGCUACAAAGGGUUUACAAUGUGAACACUGCUCUACCGAGAUUAUAUUUAGAAGCAUGAUAAUGGAACUCCUAACAAAUUGUUCAGAGGUUCAAAUAUCUUAUCAAGAACCAACUAAAUGACAAAUCUAAGGCUUUUGGCAGAUUGGUUCCGAUAUAUGAACAUUUUAUCUCCCAAUUAGCUACAAAAGUUCUAUGAUUUAGUCACUAUUUUAAGACAACAUUGUUUUAUUUCUGUUAGGGUAACAGUCUUCUGAUUUAACCACCAAAAAUUGAAAACAUUCUUCUGACAUUCAUUUGAAAAACUUUUACUCACUAUCAGUUUCCCUGCUCUUUUUUGUUUUCUUUUCUAGAGCUUGCAUCUUGUUCCUUAAGCUAAGUAUGUUUAUCUCAUAAGAAUUUAUGAUUACAGUUAAGAAAUUUUGUCUGUUCUCUUUCAGUAUAUAAUUAUUGUAUAAUUCCACUACAGGUAUGUUCCAGCUCACUUGCACCUUAAGGUUUUUGAGUUGGUUAAGAACUCACUUCGUGCUGUUCAAGAGCGUUUUAUGGAUUCUGAUAAAGUUGCACCUCCCAUUAGAAUAAUAGUUGCUGAUGGGAUAGAGGAUGUUACCAUAAAGGUGCUCAUCUUUUGUUCUGGAAUAUUUUUGUUUCUUUUGGUAGGAUUGCUACUUGUUAUAAGCAAUUAGUCUGAGUGGCAUUUUCAGGUGUCAGAGGAGGGAGGUGGAAUUCCAAGAAGUGGUUUGCCUGAAAUUUUUACAUAUCUAUACAGUACAGAAACCCAUUGGAUGAGCAUUCACAUCUUGGAAUAGGUGAGAAUGUGACAAUGGCUGGAUAUGGAUAUGGCCUUCUCAUUAGUCGUCUAUAUGCUCGGUAUUUUGGAGGUGAUCUUCAAAUGAUCUCAAUGGAAGGAUAUGGUGAGUAGGCUACUACUUGUUUUCCCUUUUGCACUAGUUUUCUGCAACAUAUCCUUAUUUCUUCCACCUUUUUUACUUAGGCACUUGAAGACUUUCCAACAUUUGUUUUUCUGGUUACUUUUUAUGUCCUUCGUAUCCAUUAGAACUUCUUUAAUAAUAUGCUUUCAUAUCCAUUUGUUUUCCCCCAAGUGUUAGUUGGUCAUUACACAUUAGAACUUUAGAAGAUUUUACUUUAGUAGGGUGGUUUCUUUAUUUUCUAAAGCCUGGUCUCCUCAAUACCAUUUUAAAGUCUUACUUGUAUUUCUUGGUAGAUAUAUUAUAUCACAUUUUAUAGUGUUAUUUUUUUUGUUAUCUUUCUCUAAAAUGCUCAUUUUUACUAUUUGAUUUUCCUUGUUCCAAAAUCAUCAGUCAUCCUUUAUGAUGCUGUCAUGGGUAGUUUAUUCACAGGGACUGGUGCACAUCUCCAUUUGUCUAGUUUGGGAGAUUCACAAGAACCUAAGCUCUUUUGACACAGUUACCUUCAGUAACUCAUAGUAAUCCUGUUCUAGGGAAAACACCAUUGUUAGUAUCAAAAGGGACUAUUUGUAGUCAUAUUUUUUUAUGUUUCAAUGACAGAUUUCUUGUAAAUAUGUCACACAUAAGAUUGUGCAUGCUGAUUGCCCUUUCUUUACCUCAGGCCCAGCUUUUGGAAAUUGUCCUUUCCUUUCUAAAUGAAAAAUGAAUAUGCCCUUUUAUCCAAAAGAAUUGAGGCAUUUGGAUGAAGGUUAAAGGUGCAGAAAAAUGGGCCUUUUUUUGUCUGGCCAAUAGCAAUCCAAAUAGACUGCAUUUGGUUCCCUCCAAUGCAGGAGCAGAUGGGUCACUAUCAAGCAAACAUGGUCACCAUUCCAAUAUGAUAAGUAAAAUUAUUUAUUAUUAUUAUGAUAGCAUUAGGUAACAUGGGACUGUGAAAAUGCAUUUUCCAAAAGCAAAAGCACCUAAGUAAUCAGAAAAACCUAAGAAUAUUACUACAAUAAUGAGUAAAACUCUACUUUAC
rnacentral:lncRNA from 1 species